UACGAAGGGGGGCUAGCGUUGCUCGGAAUUACUGGGCGUAAAGCGCACGUAGGCGGAUUGUUAAGUCGGGGGUGAAAUCCUGGAGCUCAACUCCAGAACUGCCUUCGAUACUGGCGAUCUCGAGUUCGGGAGAGGUGAGUGGAACUGCGAGUGUAGAGGUGAAAUUCGUAGAUAUUCGCAAGAACACCAGUGGCGAAGGCGGCUCACUGGCCCGAUACUGACGCUGAGGUGCGAAAGCGUGGGGAGCAAACAGGGAUUAAGAAACCCCAGUACG
rnacentral:rRNA from 1 species